GGUUUUGCCAGAGGACAUAUGCCUACCCUUACAAUUGUUUGUCUGAUCAGCUGUGGCACAGCUCCAGUCUCGACACAAUCCAAAGAAAAUGGAGACACAACAAUCUUCAUGAGAUGUAACCAACUGGAAAAAGUGGGGCUUCGUCUUACACUUCACUUCACGUAGGAUCAGACACGACUGCUUUCUCCAGUUUGAGAGGAAGACGAACUACCUGAGAUCCACCUGUCGGUCGAUCCUACAUUCCCUUACGGCACAACACAUUAACUUUUGCUGUUAGUGUGAUUCUUUUUAAGGCUUUAAACUAAAUAAUAUUAAGAGGUAAAUUGGACUACGUGAAUAAUAGUUUUAUGUAUGAAGGCCACAGGGUAAAUGCCACUGCAAGCAUAACGAUAUAUUUUUGAGGAUACUGUUAAAACGAUAUAACAAAGAAAUAGUAUAGUAUUAUUAUGCAUUAAGUUAUUAAGUUAGAUAUUAGAAAAAUUCAACUGGGAAAAUUCGUGAAAAUGAAUCCUGUAAGUAAAGAUCGUGGUAAAGUGCCUCAAUAAAAUGCGGCAUCGGGUAAAAGCAUUCCGAGUUAUGCGAAACAGUUCGCCUGAUUGUUAAACAAGCUGCUUCCCUCUUGCUAUUAGAAAGACAGCAUUGAAA